CAAGAGUUGGUGUCCAGUCUGAAGGAACAAAGGAAUCAACUGUGUUUUGGAGGCGGACAGGCUGGGAGUCUGUGACACAUGUUGAUCUCUGAAGCAUUCCAUGAGUUUCUAUGUUCUAUAAGGGAAUAUUUGGAUUGUGAACUGUUUCAGAACUUUGUUCUCAGGACCUAUUAUUUUAACAUUUGGGAGAAACACAUCCAGAAGAUGCACAGUUGACUGAAGGAGGACCUGAGAAGGCUUCAGAUGACAUCAGAGGUGCUUUUCAACAGCCUUCUUGAUUUCCUUUCUCAGAAAGCAGAGGCUCAAACCUUGGAGACAGACGUUCACUGGAGUCCUCCUCUUAAGCUCCCAACUACCUYGUCUGUAUCUCUGUGUUGUGGGUGCCAUGGCAAGACCUGUGGCAAGCCAUCACUGCUGUAGGGAGUGAACACGUCAGACCUGGACACAACAAAGCUGGAUCUCUGAUUAACAGUAACUUCUUCAGUUAAACUGAGUUUAUUACUUGAAACACUUGGUUAUAUACACAGGUGAGCAAAAGAGAGGUCAGGGGAAAGUGUGCAUGAAAAUUUCUUAAAUAUAUGUGAAACCAUUUAAAG
rnacentral:lncRNA from 1 species